AUGGGAAUGGGCGUGCGGCGUGGAACUGCAACGAUGCAGGGCAGGAGCUUCAUCUUCGUCCUUGUUGUGCUGUUGGCCGUGGCGACUGGCGUUUCCGGCCGAACCACGUACACGGGCAGCAGCAACACUGCAAGUGCUAGUGGUGCACGAGUGACGACGCCGCCGGCGACGGGGAAGAAGCAAGGCCACCAUGACCAUUUGGUCAAGCCGAAGCCGCAGACCAAGGAGACCAACACCAAGCAGGUGCCUGCGCUGGUGGUGUUCGGCGACUCCAUCGUGGACCCGGGGAACAACAACGCCAUCCACACCAUCAUCAAGGCCAACUUCCCGCCCUACGGCCACGACUUCGGCGCCGACCACCGCCCCACCGGCCGCUUCUGCAACGGCCGGAUCCCCACCGACUUCAUCGCCUCCAAGCUGGGGCUCAAGCAGCUCCUCCCGGCCUACCUGCAGCAGUCCCCGAACCUCACCACCCACGACCUGCUCACCGGCGUCAGCUUCGCGUCGGGCGGGACCGGCUACGACCCGCUCACCGCGCAGCUCGCCUCCGUCAUCUCCAUGACGGACCAGCUCCGCAUGUUCCAUGAGUACAAGGCCAAGGUCCGGGCCCUGGCUGGCGACGCCGCUCUCUCGGAGAUCCUCUCGAAGGGAGUCUUCGCGGUGUGCGCGGGCAGCGACGACGUGGCCAACACCUACUUCACCAUGCGCGCCCGCAGCUCCUACUCGCACGCCGACUACGCGUCCCUCAUCGUGUCCCACGCCGGCGCCUUCCUCGACGGCCUGCUCUCCGCGGGGGCCAAGCGAGUGGCCAUCAUCUCCAUGCCGCCCAUCGGGUGCGUGCCGUCCCAGCGCACGCUCUCGGGCGGCAUGGCGCGGGACUGCUCGUCGGGCCACAACGAGAUCGCCGAGAUGAUCAACGCCGGCAUGGGCACCACCGUGGAGUCGCUCAAGGCCAAGCACCAGGGGGCGAGGGUGGUGCUCAUGGACAUCUACGGGUACUUGUUCGACAUGAUGAUGCGCCCGGAGGGGUACGGGUUCAAGGAGUCCACGCUGGGCUGCUGCGGCACCGGCAUGAUGGAGGUCUCCGUGCUCUGCAACGGUGUUACGUCGGCGGUGUGCGGCGACGUCACCGACUAUUUGUUCUGGGACAGCUACCACCCCACGGAGAAGGCGUAUCGUAUCCUCGUCGACUUCGUCUACGACAACUACCUCAAGGAGCUCAUCGACUGA
rnacentral:rRNA from 1 species